UUGGUUCUCUGAUGCCAUCUACCCAUCUGGUUUUAUUGUGUGUGUUCCUCCUAAACUUGAUGACGACAUCUGUAUCUUAUUCAUAGCUCUAAGCCAUAACAUGAACAUUAAAUCAUACUGAUGCGUGGGGUGGGGGAGAAGGUAGGAAUCAAAUUACCAGCCAAAUAAGACAAGAAAAGGUAAGCUAAAAAAGCGGCCGACAUACCAGCAAGAACUCGAGGCAGGACGGAUCUGAAGAUUCGCACCAAAGUCGUAUGAUUACUUUCUUUUUCUUUUUUUGUCUCGCCUUGUUUGUUCUAUUGCCGCCAGCUACAGGCGGACAAAGUAUGUUACGUAAAUUUCUCUCGUCUCGUUUGCUCGUCUUCGUCGCAAAAAGAUCUCGAAUCCUGGAGGGUGGACUAAACUUAGCAUGUUGCUCGUCUUCGUCGCAGCACCUUUCACCUUUUUAAUCAGAAGAUAACCA
rnacentral:lncRNA from 1 species